rnacentral:lncRNA from 12 species
GCUGAUUUACAUGUUAAUAUAAUGACCCUUUACAAUUCAAUAAGAUGAGAAGUGGAAAAAUAUGAAAAAGAAAAGAUGAAGCCCUCUGCAGAUGUUGUCCUCCCAUAUGGUAUCCCAUAUGGCUGUAUUUCACUGCUGCUUGGUUUCAAAAGAUCUCUCUCUCCAGAGGCUGCUGAAAGGAGGAGCAGUGUGAGAAAAGAUGAGAGAAGGGGCUUGCAGAAAUCUAGAAGAGGAGGAAGAGGAGAAGUCAGGACGUAUCCACACACAGCGUGUGCCUCAGGGAGCCGCUGCAGGAACUGCAGACAGCAUGGCCUUUGGCACGAGAUGCUCAGGAGGGGGAGGAAUGGUGCUCAGAAGCAGGUGCUUUGGCAGAGGGCUGGCAGAAGGCAGCCCAGCACCUGGCUCCUGAAGUCUCAAAUUUGGUGAAAUUUCAGCCAGUUGACAUCAAUAACCUGCA